rnacentral:rRNA from 1 species
UAGGGAAUCUUCCGCAAUGGGCGAAAGCCUGACGGAGCAACGCCGCGUGAGUGAUGAAGGUCUUCGGAUCGUAAAACUCUGUUAUUAGGGAAGAACAAAUGUGUAAGUAACUAUGCACGUCUUGACGGUACCUAAUCAGAAAGCCACGGCUAACUACGUGCCAGCAGCCGCGGUAAUACGUAGGUGGCAAGCGUUAUCCGGAAUUAUUGGGCGUAAAGCGCGCGUAGGCGGUUUUUUAAGUCUGAUGUGAAAGCCCACGGCUCAACCGUGGAGGGUCAUUGGAAACUGGACAACUUGAGUGCAGAAGAGGAAAGUGGAAUUCCAUGUGUAGCGGUGAAAUGCGCAGAGGUAUGGAAGAAAACCAGUGGCGAAGGCGACUUUCUGGUCUGUAACUGACGCUGAUGUUCGAAAGCGUGGGGAUCAAACAGG